rnacentral:rRNA from 2 species
UACGGAGGGUGCAAACGUUGCUCGGAAUCAUUGGGCGUAAAGCGCACGUAGGCGGUCUGUUAAGUCGGGUGUGAAAGCCCUCGGCUCAACCGAGGAAGUGCAUUCGAAACUGGCAGGCUGGAGUACUGGAGAGGAUGACGGAAUUCCCGGUGUAGAGGUGAAAUUCGUAGAUAUCGGGAGGAACACCAGCGGCGAAGGCGGUCAUCUGGACAGAUACUGACGCUGAGGUGCGAAAGCGUGGGGAGCAAACAGG